UCCCUGGUGGCUAAGACGGUAAAGCAUCUGCCUACAAUGCGGGAGACCUGGGUUCAAUCCCUGGUUCGGGAA
rnacentral:tRNA from 1 species